UACAGAGGGUGCUAGCGUUGUUCGGAAUCAUUGGGCGUAAAGGGCGUGUAGGCGGUUUGUUAAGUCAUGUGUGAAAGCCCCCGGCUCAACCGGGGAACGACGCAUGAAACUGGCAAGCUAGAGUACCGAAGAGGGGGGUGGAAUUCCCGGUGUAGCGGUGAAAUGCGUAGAUAUCGGGAGGACACCUGUGGCGAAGGCGGCCCCCUGGUCUAGCACUGACGCUCAGGCACGAAAGCGUGGGAGGCAAACAGG
rnacentral:rRNA from 1 species